rnacentral:tRNA from 1 species
GCUGGUGUGGCUCAGUAGAUAGAGCGUUGGUUUGCGGACUGAAGGGUCCUGGGUUCGAUUCCCAGUCAGGGCA